rnacentral:rRNA from 1 species
AACCUGCCCCAAGCUCUGGAAUAACCUCGGGAAACCGGGGCUAAUGCCGGAUAUGACAUUGCCGGGCAUCUGGUGGUGUGGAAAGAUUUAUCGGCUUGGGAUGGGCCCGCGGCCUAUCAGCUUGUUGGUGGGGUGAUGGCCUACCAAGGCGACGACGGGUAGCCGGCCUGAGAGGGCGACCGGCCACACUGGGACUGAGACACGGCCCAGACUCCUACGGGAGGCAGCAGUGGGGAAUAUUGCGCAAUGGGCGAAAGCCUGACGCAGCGACGCCGCGUGAGGGAUGACGGCCUUCGGGUUGUAAACCUCUUUCAGCAGGGACGAAGCGCAAGUGACGGUACCUGCAGAAGAAGCACCGGCCAACUACGUGCCAGCAGCCGCGGUAAUACGUAGGGUGCAAGCGUUGUCCGGAAUUAUUGGGCGUAAAGAGCUCGUAGGCGGCUUGUCACGUCGGCUGUGAAAACUCGGGGCUCAAACCCCGAGCCUGCAGUCGAUACGGGCAGGCUAGAGUCCGGCAGGGGAGACUGGAAUUCCUGGUGUAGCGGUGAAAUGCGCAGAUAUCAGGAGGAACACCGGUGGCGAAGGCGGGUCUCUGGGCCGGAACUGACGCUAAGGAGCGAAAGCGUGGGGAGCGAACAGGAUUAGAUACCCUGGUAGUCCACGCCGUAAACGUUGGGCGCUAGGUGUGGGGGACCUUCCACGGCCUCCGUGCCGCAGCUAACGCAUUAAGCGCCCCGCCUGGGGAGUACGGCCGCAAGGCUAAAACUCAAAGGAAUAGACGGGGGCCCGCACAAGCGGCGGAGCAUGUGGCUUAAUUCGAUGCAACGCGAAGAACCUUACCAGGGCUUGACAUGCAGGGAAAUCUCGUAGAGAUACGGGGUCCGUAAGGGUCCUGCACAGGUGGUGCAUGGCUGUCGUCAGCUCGUGU